rnacentral:rRNA from 1 species
GUCUGUUUGUAGAUAUAAAGAGUUUAACCUGCCCACUGAUAAAAUUUAAGGGCCGCGGUAUUUUGACCGUGCAAAGGUAGCAUAAUCGUUAGUUUUUUAAUUGGAAUCUUGUAUGAAUGGUUGGACAAAGGAAAAUCUGUCUCUAUGGCUAUAAAGUGAAUUUAACUUUUAAGUGAAAAGGCUUAAAUGAAUUAAAGGGACGAUAAGACCCUAUAAAGCUUGAUAUGUAAGUUUUAUUUAGUUGAAUUUUUAUGAUAUAAAGGUUUAGUGAUUUAGAAGUAUUGUAUUGGGGCGAUAAAGGUAAAAUGAUUGUUAACUGCUUAUUGUUUAAACAAAGGUAGGUGAUUAGAAUUGUAAAGGAUCCUAGUUAUGGAUUAAAAGAUUAAGUUACUUUAGGGAUAACAGCGUUAUUUUUUUUGAGAGUCCAUAUCGAGAAAAAAGUUUGCGACCUCGAUGUUGAAUUAAAAUAUCUGUACAAUUGCAGUAGUUGUAUAAGAAGGUCUGUUCGACCUUUAAAUUUUUACAUGAUUUGAGUUCAGACCGGCGUGAGCCAGGUCGGUUUCUAUCUUUUAAUAUUACAAUAGCUGU